rnacentral:lncRNA from 1 species
GGCAGCGAGAGGCCGGAACUCAGGCGUCGCAGCGCGAACGGGCGCACGCUGACUGCGGUCACGGCGUGCCCGGCCACCGGGAACUCGAGGCGCAGCGUGACGGCGGCAUGUAGCCCCACGGCCGGGCUGUAGCGCGUGAGCUCCACGAACACCGCGCGGCUCCUACCCGGCGAGAGGGGCGGGCAGGGUAAAAAGACUGGGUGUCUUCCCAGAGAAAGGGGCUUGGGCGGCGGGUGACUCGGGGCCCGGGGAGGAGGUGGUGGCUGAGCGGUCAGUGAGGUGUGUGGGGAAAGAUGGGGACACGGAAAAGCGGCGGGGUGGGGGAGUGGACCGCGGAGGGCCAGGGCCCCGGAGGAGGGCCGCGUGGGGACCCCGGUGUGCCCGCCGGAAGCGCCGCAGUGGCAGUGCGGAGAGGCGGGGACAGGCCGAGCGCGAGCACCUGUUGUCGAUCCAGUUGUGCAGCUGCAGGAAGCCCAGCUGCGCGCGGCUCUCUUCCAGGCUCAGCCCCAGCUCCUGCACGUAGCCCCCGCUGUCGUACACGGCGCAGUGGCCCCAGGACCAGACCCUGCCGGCGAGGGGACGGCGUUAGAGCCAGGCCCCAGCCCUGGAAGAACCUGGGAGGCAAGGCUGGCUGGGGCUAGGGGGCGCCCGUGGAGAACAACCCCCCCUCCCCGCGUCCCGGAUCCUCCCGGAUCCCGGGGCCCUCCCUCUGUGCUCACCCCAGCAGGUCUGGCGCAGAGUAGGCCCACGUCUCGGAGCCGUUGUGGGCAGCACUGCCCCAGCCGAUGCCAUAGUCGCCUGUGCUGAAGGAGCCCGCGGCUGCCGCGCACGUGGGCACACCCGGGCGAGCAGGGUCUGGGCAGAGUGCUGAAAGCAGAGGGGGAGUUCUUUGCCAGCUGGGCUCUACGUGAUCCCACCAGACCCUCCCUGCAACCCAGAAGGCAGAGGCCACAGUGUCACGGGCGGAGACAGUAAGGGAUGCACAGCUAGACAGCUGGAACCAGAAUGCAGCCAGGGGUGUCUCUUUGGGAGAGAGCAAGGACGCAGUGCCAGGCCUCCCUCCACGGCUCACCUUCCUGCAGCCGCACCUGCCGCAGUCGCGGGGGCCCCAGCUCUGGGCCGGACUGGUUCCCAUGGAUGUAGGGGAGCAGGACGUGGGACAUCCACGGCCAAAACUCCUCAGACCUGCUCACACAGACAGAGUCCCGUGUUCUACCCGGCAGUGCCCUGCACCCCCGGGGGCGGGGGUGGUCAGAGGCCCACAGAGCACUGCUCCUGCCGCCCCAGCCCAGCCAACAGCAGGCUGCCAGUGCCACGGGACGGGACGAGGUCAAGACCCAGAAGCCUCAAGCUCAGCAUACUGACUUUUGGAGCAGGAAGUGUUACGGGGCGGUUCUGGGUACUCUAAGAUUAUUUACUUAUUUGUUUUGAGAGAGACACAGACAGCAUGAGCGGGGUAGGGGUAGAGAACGAGGGAGACAGAAUCCCAAGUGGGGUCCGCAAUGUCAGGACGCAGUCUGACGCGGGGCUUUCACCCCCGACACCGUGGGAUCGUGACCUGCACCGAAACCAAGACCCUGCCGCUCAACUGACCGGGCACCCCCAGGCGCCCCGGGACGUUUUGAACAGUGCCUCCGGUCCCGUGUUGCCAACACCACCUACUCCGGUCCUGACAACCCACGACAAUCCAAGACGCUGCCCCACGUCCCCUGGGGACUGGGUUGCACCAAGGACAAGAUCGAGAUGGGAUCUGGCGGGCAUCAGUGCCUCCCCGGCCUGGCAGGUGGACACGCGCAUGGGCACGGGGGUGCCUGUACCGGGUGAUGGCCAGGAAGGCCUGGCUGCCGAGCUCCUGUUUGAUGGCACUCUGCAGGCGGUAGGCAUGGCUGUGGCAGGAAGCGUCCCCAUGGUUGGCCAGCAGCGUCACCAGCAGGAAGAGCAUGUAUACCAGGAAGCUCUGGGGGCAGGGACGGCCCUGGGGUCAGCCAAUCCCAGUGUGGCCCACCGUCACGGCACUGGCCAGCAAACCGCCCGU